AACGAACGCUGGCGGCAGGCCUAACACAUGCAAGUCGAACGCCGUAGCAAUACGGAGUGGCAGACGGGUGAGUAACACGUGGGAACGUACCCUUCGGUUCGGGAUAACUCAGGGAAACUUGAGCUAAUACCGGACACGUCCGAGAGGAGAAAGAUUUAUUGCCGAGGGAUCGGCCCGCGUCUGAUUAGCUUGUUGGUGAGGUAACGGCUCACCAAGGCGACGAUCAGUAGCUGGCUGAGAGGAUGAUCAGCCACAUUGGGACUGAGACACGGCCCAAACUCCUACGGGAGGCAGCAGUGGGGAAUAUUGGACAAUGGGCGCAAGCCUGAUCCAGCCAUGCCGCGUGAGUGAUGAAGGCCCUAGGGUUGUAAAGCUC
rnacentral:rRNA from 1 species